rnacentral:rRNA from 1 species
GACGAACGCUGGCGGCGUGCUUAAUACAUGCAAGUCGAACGGACAGACGAGGAGCUUGCUCCUUUCACGUUAGCGGCGGACGGGUGAGUAACACGUGUAUAAUCUACCUAUAACUCUGGGAUAACCUCGGGAAACGGGCUCUAAUACCGGAUAAGAUACUGAAGCGCAUGGUCCACUAGUGAAAGGCGGUUUUGCUGGCGGUUAUCGCUGGGUCUGCGCGUUAUUAGGUGGUUGGUCAGUUCACGGCUUACCAAGGCGACGACGGGUAGCCGACCUGGGAGGGGGACCGGCGACACUGGGACUGAGACACGGCCCAGACUCCAACGGGAGGCAGCAGUGGGGAAUAUUGCAGAAUGGGCGCAAGCCUGAUGCAGCAACGCCGCGUGCGGGAAGACGGCCUUCGGGUUGUAAACCACUUUGUACGGAGAUGAAGCGAAAGUGACGGUACCUGCUGAAAAAGCACCGGCUAACUACGUG